GCCCUUGGUGGCUCAGAUGGGUAGAGCGUCUGCCAUAUAAGCAGGAGAUCCUGGGUUCAAGCCCCAGUCAGGGCA